GACGAACGCUGGCGGCGUGCUUAACACAUGCGAGUCGAACGGAAAGGCCCUGCUUUUGUGGGGUGCUCGAGUGGCGAACGGGUGAGUAACACGUGAGUAACCUGCCCUUGACUUUGGGAUAACUUCAGGAAACUGGGGCUAAUACCGGAUAGGAGCUCCUGCUGCAUGGUGGGGGUUGGAAAGUUUCGGCGGUUGGGGCUGGACUCGCGGCUUAUCAGCUUGUUGGUGGGGUAGUGGCUUACAAGGGUUUUGACGGAUAGCCGGCCUGAGAGGGUGACCGGCCACAUUGGGACUGAGAUACGGCCCAGACUCCUACGGGAGGCAGCAGUGGGGAAUAUUGCACAAUGGGCGGAAGCCUGAUGCAGCAACGCCGCGUGCGGGAUGACGGCCUUCGGGUUGUGAACCGCUUUCGCCUGUGACGAAGAGUGAGUGACGGUAAUGGGUAAAGAAGCACCGGCUAACUACGUG
rnacentral:rRNA from 1 species